rnacentral:lncRNA from 1 species
UUUAAAGGUGCCGACAAGGAGUUGACAGCUGCAAUACAGAAAUGGAACCAAGAGAAAAUCGAGAACUUUUGUAACCAAAAGGGUAUUCAGUGGUUAUUCAAUCCACCAGACGCAAGUCACUUUGGUGGAGUUUGGGAACAGAUGAUUAGAUCAACACGCCAAGUCUUGCGAGCUUUAAUGAAAGAACAAGUGGUAUGUGAUGAAGUUUUGGCGACAGUUAUGUCAGAAGCGACGAAUAUUCUGAACAGCCGUCCACUGACGCGCAACAGUGAUGAUCCAAGCGACGAACAACCCAUAACACCCAAUCAUCUACUAAAAUUGAGACCAUGUCCCACUCUACCACCUGGAAUUUUUGAUGAUUCAGAUCUACACACUCAGCGCCGUUGGAGACAAGCCCAAUAUAUGGUGAAUGUGUUCUGGAAGAGGUGGUUGAAGGAAUAUCUUCCUUCUCUACAAGAGCGCCAGAAGUGGAAUAACAAGCAACCAAACUGGAAAGUUGAUGAUCUAGUGCUGAUUAUGGAUGGAAAUUAUCCUAGAGGACAAUGGCCUGUUGGCAGAGUGGUGGAAAUCUUCGCGAGUGAUGACG